GUAUAGUUGAUUAUAUGAUAACUAGGUUGAAGUUUGUCUUUAGAAAAAGGAAGAAAAUAAGAAAAGGGAGACCGCAGAGCAGCCUCGAAGAAGGACGACAAUUUCAGAUUGAAAGGUUCAAAACAUUGAGGAAAGGAAAAGCAUUGAAGAAUUAAUUGCUUGACUUUGGUUCUUCGGUAGAGCGAGUGUACCUAUGACUUCUGAUUUCCAUCAGCUCUAUCCAGCUUCCCGCAUAUCAAGUUACAUGGUGAGCUAUCCAUUCAAGCUCGUGUUGGAUUCUCUCGGUAAUGACAUGAUGUCCUAUA